CGCGGAGUAGAGCAGUGGUCAGCUCGUUGGCCUCAUAAGCCGAAGGUCGUGGGUUCGAAUCCCACCUCCGCUACCA
rnacentral:tRNA from 1 species